CGCUGGCGGCGUGCCUAAUACAUGCAAGUCGAACGAACUCUGGUAUUGAUUGGUGCUUGCAUCAUGAUUUACAUUUGAGUGAGUGGCGAACUGGUGAGUAACACGUGGGAAACCUGCCCAGAAGCGGGGGAUAACACCUGGAAACAGAUGCUAAUACCGCAUAACAACUUGGACCGCAUGGUCCGAGCUUGAAAGAUGGCUUCGGCUAUCACUUUUGGAUGGUCCCGCGGCGUAUUAGCUAGAUGGUGGGGUAACGGCUCACCAUGGCAAUGAUACGUAGCCGACCUGAGAGGGUAAUCGGCCACAUUGGGACUGAGACACGGCCCAAACUCCUACGGGAGGCAGCAGUAGGGAAUCUUCCACAAUGGACGAAAGUCUGAUGGAGCAACGCCGCGUGAGUGAAGAAGGGUUUCGGCUCGUAAAACUCUGUUGUUAAAGAAGAACAUAUCUGAGAGUAACUGUUCAGGUAUUGACGGUAUUUAACCAGAAAGCCACGGCUAACUACGUGCCAGCAGCCGCGGUAAUACGUAGGUGGCAAGCGUUGUCCGGAUUUAUUGGGCGUAAAGCGAGCGCAGGCGGUUUUUUAAGUCUGAUGUGAAAGCCUUCGGCUCAACCGAAGAAGUGCAUCGGAAACUGGGAAACUUGAGUGCAGAAGAGGACAGUGGAACUCCAUGUGUAGCGGUGAAAUGCGUAGAUAUAUGGAAGAACACCAGUGGCGAAGGCGGCUGUCUGGUCUGUAACUGACGCUGAGGCUCGAAAGUAUGGGUAGCAAACAGGAUUAGAUACCCUGGUAGUCCAUACCGUAAACGAUGAAUGCUAAGUGUUGGAGGGUUUCCGCCCUUCAGUGCUGCAGCUAACGCAUUAAGCAUUCCGCCUGGGGAGUACGGCCGCAAGGCUGAAACUCAAAGGAAUUGACGGGGGCCCGCACAAGCGGUGGAGCAUGUGGUUUAAUUCGAAGCUACGCGAAGAACCUUACCAGGUCUUGACAUACUAUGCAAAUCUAAGAGAUUAGACGUUCCCUUCGGGGACAUGGAUACAGGUGGUGCAUGGUUGUCGUCAGCUCGUGUCGUGAGAUGUUGGGUUAAGUCCCGCAACGAGCGCAACCCUUAUUAUCAGUUGCCAGCAUUAAGUUGGGCACUCUGGUGAGACUGCCGGUGACAAACCGGAGGAAGGUGGGGAUGACGUCAAAUCAUCAUGCCCCUUAUGACCUGGGCUACACACGUGCUACAAUGGAUGGUACAACGAGUUGCGAACUCGCGAGAGUAAGCUAAUCUCUUAAAGCCAUUCUCAGUUCGGAUUGUAGGCUGCAACUCGCCUACAUGAAGUCGGAAUCGCUAGUAAUCGCGGAUCAGCAUGCCGCGGUGAAUACGUUCCCGGGCCUUGUACACACCGCCCGUCACACCAUGAGAGUUUGUAACACCCAAAGUCGGUGGGGUAACCUUUUAGGAACCAGCCGCCUAAGGUGGGACAGAUGAUUA
rnacentral:rRNA from 2 species